UAAGACUGGUGGCAGCCGCCGCGGUAACACCAGCGCCUCAAGUGGUAUCCGCGAAUAUUGGGCCUAGAGCGUCCGUAGCCGGAUUAAAAAGUCCAUUGUGAAAUGUUGAGGCUUUAACCUUAACGCGUGCAGUGGAUACUUUUAGUCUAGGGAACGGGGGAGGAUCGGAGUACAUCCGGGGUAGGGGUAAAAUCCGUUGAGCCUGGGUGGACUACCAGUGGCGAAGGCGCCGAUCCAAACCGUGUCCGACGGUGAGGGACGAAGGCUAGGGUAGCGAACGGGAUUAGAUACCCCGGUAGUCCUAGCAGUAAAUUAUGCAGACUUUGGUGUUGCAUGUGAGUAAUCAUGUGCAGUGCUGUAGCGUAGGUAUUAAGUCUGCCGCCUGGGGAGUACGGUCGCAAGACUUAAACUUAAAGGAAUUGGCGGGGGAGCACCACAAGCCGUGGAUGCUACGGUUUAAUUGGAUACAACGCCGGAAAUAUCACCAAGGGCGACGGCAGUAUGAAGGCCAGACUAACGAUCUUGCCUGACGAGCCGAGAGGUAUUGCAUGGCCAUCGUCAGCUCGUGGUGUGAA
rnacentral:rRNA from 1 species